AAAAAAAAUAAAGCAGCAGCAGCAGCAAAACUAUCUGACGCAAUCUCAGCUUGCUGUAGCAACAAAGUCUAACCCAUUCUGGUGCUUUCGUCUCUAUGAGACAAGCCGUUAUAUAGACUUAGU